ensembl:lncRNA
AGGGCAGGGAGUGGGAAAGUGAAAAGCUACUAAAAUCCAGUCCUGGCCUCUCUUCCCUCCAGCGUAAAAGCCUCCCUGGGGUGCUUGGGCAAUACAACAGGCUCCGACUAGACCAUCCAUUGUCCCACAGCCCUUUUGAUCUUUUCCCCCCUCAGAGGCCAAGGCACCGUGAGCUACCUUGCAAUUAUUUCCCAAGUACUUUAACUGUGUUCCUUGGAUCCUCUCUAAAACACAAGAUCCCUAAAGGCAGCGACACACUUCACACCCCCAAGGAGCACAGGCGAUGUCGGGGUGAUUCCAGGCUGCUCUGUACUUUCUUGCUGAAUGAGUGGACGGGCUAGAGAAGAAACGGCAGAAGAGAAAGACAACCAGGUGCCCUGUCACUGCCUAUCACUGCCUGCCCUGCAGACUUCCAGCCCUUAGGAAGCUCACUCCUGAAACAAGUCCCUACAAGGUCAGUGAUUCACGCAGAUGCCCCUGAAAUCACUUCCUGGGCUCCACUGUCAUCAGACACAACAGGAGGUUGCUCACGGAGAAGUGUGAAAAGUGCCUGGAGACCUUGCUACUUGUUUCUCUGCAGAGGAGGACUCCAGACACUUAUUCUCCUAGCAUCCCACAGAUGCUGCUUGUCAGAGAUGAAGGCAGGACACAGGCAUUUGGUUGCAGCUCUUAAGGUUGUGCUCCCUUGCACCCGUGACUCUCUUUUCCCAAACCUGACACCUACUCACGGCCCAGGUACAACUCCCCUCAGCUGCCAAGACAUCAUCACUUCAUGUGACUCACUCACUGACAAUGAAUGACCAGCAAGAGUUUUAGAAUCUGGGUUGAAGAUGAACUUCAAAGUCGCUUCAUAUAACGCCUGAGUCUCUUAGCAGCAGCCCCGCCAAGUGGUCAUCCAGCCAACACAAAAACAUCUCCAGGAACUAGGAGCUCAAGACCUUAAGUCUCAGCUCAACAUAUUUAUACAGCCUCUUUUUACUUUUUGUAGCAGAACGUUGCACUUCAACCAAAUGCAGACUCUUCGGGUAUCACGCACACCUGUGCCUUCUCACUCAAUGUAUCUGCUUCAAGCAACAGACCUGGACUCUGGUUAUCUUAAGCAAAUAAGAAAUGUACUGGGCAGAACAGAGGAAAACAGUAACAAGCUCAGCCCCG